AGCGGUUGGAGCGACUUCGUGUCGUGACAGCGUGCCUUUUGCAUAAUGACCCUACGAGUUACUCCUCACUGGCAAGGUUAAUCCGUUUAGCGGAGCAGCCGAAGCGAAAGCAAGUCUUAACAGGGCGAAUAGUCAGUGGGGGUAGACGCGAAACUUUGUGAUCUACCCUUGGCCAGGAUGAAGUAGCAGUAACAUGCUAUGGAGGUCCGAACUAAUAAGCGUUGAAAAGCUUCUGGAUGAGCUGAGGGUAGGGGUGAAAGGCUAAUCAAACUGAGAAAUAGCUCGUACUCCCCGAAAUGCAUUUAGGUGCAGCGUUGAGGUUAAGUCAUAAAGAGGUAGAGCUACUGAUAGGGCUAGGGGGCGUUCACCGCCUACCAAACCCUGACAAACUCCGAAUGCUUUAUGAUAUACUCAGCAGUGAGCCCAUGGUGCUAAGGUCAGUGGGCGAGAGGGAAACAACCCAGAUCAUCAGCUAAGGUCCCUAAAUAUAUACUAAGUUGAUCUAACGUGGUCCGAUUG
rnacentral:rRNA from 1 species